rnacentral:rRNA from 1 species
UACCUAGGGAGGCAGCAGUGAGGAAUAUUGGUCAAUGGACGCAAGUCUGAACCAGCCAUGCCGCGUGCAGGAAGACGGCUCUAUGAGUUGUAAACUGCUUUUGUACGAGGGUAAACGCAGAUACGUGUAUCUGUCUGAAAGUAUCGUACGAAUAAGGAUCGGCUAACUCCGUGCCAGCAGCCGCGGUAAUACGGAGGAUUCAAGCGUUAUCCGGAUUUAUUGGGUUUAAAGGGUGCGUAGGCGGUUUGAUAAGUUAGAGGUGAAAUCCCGGGGCUCAACUCCGGAAUUGCCUCUGCUACUGUUCG